GAGUGACAGCUUGUCACGCCUAGUGUCCCGACAUUACGAUGUUGCUGUACAUUAUGUCCUCGCGACGUAAGUGGUCCUUUACUCAUCGGAAUGCGCCUCAAGCACUACUAAUUAUCACAUGAUAAAACUAAUUUCAGGAAUUGUUCAGGUAUUAUUAGAAAAAGGUUACUAAGUGCCAAGACACGCAAGGACAGAGGGAAGUUUGUGAGUUACACACCAGUUGUUUGUUGAAGCCAAAGAAUCACCAGAGAAAAUAGUCUUCGCUGCAGUCGACAAGAGGACGACAAGUGUGUGUUCAGAAGGUACUAACCCCCUGCGUUCUCCGUUGGGCCUAGUUCCACUGCAGACAUGAUGGAGAUCCACUAAGUGUGAUGGAAUACAGGAAGACUACACAGAUGAUAGUGUGGUACAUCUUGGAGUUGCCUAGUACUUGCUACCCAGAGACCUGCUGUAAACAGCUGCUGUUCUAAUUACUGGGUAUUGAUGGACGCUUGUAAAGUGAGGAAGUGUGACUCUUAUUGAGCUUCCUUCACCAGAUGAAGCUUGCUGCUAGGAGACGUUAUGCUGCAGGAUCACAUCCUAACAGAAAUGACAUCAAUCACUAGGGACCUUGCCCUUGCCUUAAAAGCUGCUACUUGGCCUUCUAAGAAACACGGAUAUAGCAGGUCAUGUGACACUGUGACCAACUCACCUGUGACUAGAUCAUCGUGUGAAGGACAACAUUUUCUUUUGACAUCCCAAAAUACCUCUUUCAAUGAUUCUACAAUUAAUAGUGACAAUUUAGUCAGUAUUUGAAGUAAAUUAAAACCUUUCUGCAUAAUGAAAUGGAUAUUUUUUUCUUAAUUUUUAAAUGUUUGAAAUCAAUAUUGCGCUUGCUUUUUAAGAAAAAAGAAAAUAUUUACAAUCUGUAAUACAAUCUUACGGUUAAGAAUGCCUUUGGUCUAGGACCUACGUAGUGCUGCAGCAGUAGUGCUUAUAUGUUAAUGUCGAUUACUCAACUGGCUUUGCAAAAAUCAGGAAGUAGUUAUGGUGCUUAAGACACUUGAUCUGAAAGUGAUAUAUCAUCGUAAAUGCAAACAUGACAACUACGACGCAAAACCAGAGAAAGACAAUUCCGCCACACCAAACGAUGCACACACACUCACAAACACACACAAACACUUAUAAAAAGUUUUCCAUGCCCACACAUCAUCUCUCUCUCUCUCUCCCUCUCUAAAAUAAAAUGUCUCAAAUGUAUAUUUUGAGAAAGAAUGUACCAUUUGAAUGCCACUAAAGCCAAAACAAUUAUGAAAAUAGAAGCUAGCGGUACCAUGUUCUUUGAGGUCAGUAAUUCUUUUAUACUUACAGAAUCUCUUUAUUUUUUUACGACCAAAGCAUUUAAAAUGUUCUUUUCUUCACAUCAUUUCUUAAGCAGCUUUCUACUUAGUCAAUCAGAAUGGCACGACAAAGAAUGGUGCUGGCUAUCAAACAAAAGUUGGAUUCAAGGCAGCAGCCUUACCCUUAUACCUCUUUAUGACCUUCAACGCACACGUGUGAUGACUAAUAGCUAGCAAGCUGAUACCUCAGGCAGUUAAUUAAAAAAAUCCAUCCAGAAAGAUUUUGACAGCAUCGACCGGUCGAUGCGAACACUGCACGACUAGGUUUAGCUCCUAAAAAUAGUCAAUUCAAGCUUUGCCUAUCAUCAGUUCGACCACUAAAUACAUGAACUUUAUGUAGUUUUCUUUAUCGUCUUAGACUGACCUAAGUGUAAGAACAAAUGUAUUCUCUUCUUCUGUGAGAAAGAGAGCGUGCGUGUGUGCGUGUGUUACAACCGUCGUCACUGUGAAGGGGUCAGUCAUCUUUCCGUUGUGGAUCAUCUGGCAGGUCGAGUCCUCGUACAGCUGUUGGAUGAUGGCAAUGGUGGAAAUCUGUAGUGUUGCAUCAGUUUCCAUAUGUUUUCCCUGUCUACGGAGUCAAAGGCAUUCUCAAAAUACACAAAAUAUAGGUGUAGUGGCGACUGCCAUUCGAUGGACUGCUCAAUAAUGUUUCGUAGUGUAGCGGUUCGAUCUGUGCAUGAUUUACCCUGCCGAAAGCCUGCCUGUUCUUGCCUCAGUCUCUUGUCUAGGGCAUUCUUUAAAACUCUCUAAGAUGAUUCUGGUCAGCACCUUGCUAGAAAUAAACAACAGCAUAAUCCCUUGCCAACUGCUGCACUGGGUUAGGUAUGUUGCAACCUGCUGUUCCUAUUUUCGAAGAAUAUACAACACGUAGCGUACUUUCAAAGUGUUUUAACGAGCUUUUUUUUCUAAAGACAAAAGAUGGAAAACAGAUUUGAAUAGGUUUCUAUAGUUGCAGGAAUCUAUGUCGGCUUAAAACUCUUCUAUUUUGUUCGGCGUUUUGCGGCAUCGGAUAUUCCCUGUCAGGUAUGGGCAGACAUAAAAUUUGCUUGGUGGACAAAGAUAUAGAGAGCUUGAACAAAUUUUACGUUGACUGUGCAAGUCUUUCACAAAACAUUGAAAUCAUUAAUUGAUUUAUAAAUUGAUUCAUCAAUCAUGAACUUAUCUUGACACAUAAUAUUACCGCGGAGAGGGAAAAGCUUAGGCCUGUUUCAGCUGACGCCAUGUUUACUUCGUCAGUAAUUCAAAGUAACUUGACAGUGUCUCUAUUAAUUUCUUAUACACAUCAUAAUUGUUUUAAGUGCACAUGAUGGUUUUUUAGUCGAAAACAAAUGCGUAAGGCAUUCGAGGUCAAAUGGCUGACAGCUUCCAGCUGUUGCCCUCAGGCAGGCGCUAUGAAGUGCCACGUGUACGGAAGGCUGCCUACCACAGGUACUUUGUGCCAGCAGCCAUCACCAUCCUAAAUAAAGACACAGGGACUCAAGAGGAAUCAUACACAGUCUGAAGAGAAGAGGGUACUGCAUCCAUUAUCAGCCAUCACCUUGUUGAAUGUGAGCUCCCUUUCGCACAAACAAGACGAGCUCUCUGCGCUCAAUCUAAAUAAUUAAUGAAAGUCAAGUGAUGUAAGCUGGUCUUAUUUGGCCAUGGAUCCUGGAGGAAGACCAUGCUUACCAAAGUCAAGGACUAGACUGUUCUCCUGUACAGGACCUGCUCACUAUCGCUCGGAUUAGGUAGAAAUGGCAAGCCCUGUCAGCUCCUAGGUUUAUCCAUGUGCUCCUCUGAACGACAGGUGCAUGUCAAGUGAUGAAUGAGGAUGAUAGAUGACGGAGGGUAGUCUACGCCACCGUGGCCGGAGGAAGACCUCGCUUACCAACGUCAAAGACUGGCUGGUGGCUGUGUGAAGGAUUUACUAUCGUCCAAAACAGGAAUAAGUUACUAUCCUUGUAAGCUGUUGCAUCUAUCAGUGUGCUCUUCCCCAACAACAGGAUCGCAACCUGAUGGAAACAACAUGAAUCACAUGCUGGGGACCUGACUUUACCGGGAGUGUUGCCACUUUGCUUUUAUGGGAUCACGAACUUGUAAUGCUGGACUGCUGGCAGACGGUUUUUUCCAGUUAACUACUAAAACGAGGCAUGAGACUACAAAACUUCCGGUUUAGUCACAUUCUUUGUUUGAGCUCGCCGAGACUAACAGCGGAGAACGUCGCAAGAGGGAAGCGUAUGUCUUGGCAGACAGACAGCAGUCCACCUAUACACGUCCGUGAUGGGACAGGGAUAAAGCUGUUCAAGUAAAACUGUGACCACCUCAGCUAUGACUAGAUCGUCGUGUGAAGGACAGAACCUGUGGCGGGAACACCAUCGCGACGUUAAUAUUACCAUGUAAUAAACUUCCUUGAUAAAAGCAGAGCAACACCGCCGUCAUGAAGUGGGAAGGUUCAAAUCUCGGAGCGGGCGUCAGCUGCAAAAGGACAAUUUUACUUGGCAACAUCCUGGUCAGUCCUCAGGAACCUCUGCUAGCCACAGUGAAGUGGUGGAAACUGUCUUAGUUCAACCACGUCGGUCGACAUGACAUCUUACCGAAAACAGUGCUUAGAUGAACGUAGGAGGACGGUGUUAAGGUAAUCAAAAGAAACGCCGGUUAACAAACAUCCACGAGUUGUCAGCCUGCACA
rnacentral:misc_RNA from 1 species